CAUUCUGUCUGUGCAUAAAGAUACCUUCCCUUUUCAGAUGCCAGGCCAUCAAGCGUACAACGAUACGUUUUUCCACGAUUUUAGCAAUAUUUGCUGUUUGGUAAACACACAUUCGACGGUGAGACGUUGCUAAUCAUUCAAACAUACAGAGACUUUUUAGUCUUCUGCAAUUUGCACCUGCUCUCGUUUUCCAGUGGCGCGUUUUUCAGUCAGGUUCUACACGUUUCAUCUCUACUUCUGAACGAUAGGAAAUUUAAUACAGAAAAAUCACAGAGAAAUCACAGUAUAAGCGGUUGCCUGAUGAUUCUGCGCACAAAAAUAGGUGGAAAAAGAAUAACAUUUUUUAACUCUAACUUCUUGAUUUUUGUACGGGGCUGUUUCUCUGUACGGCAGAGUUUGACGCGAAAACGAUGCAGCACUGCAAUGUGUGACGGAUAAUGCUGUUCUCUACGCAAGAACAUUGGAAGGAAGUUUUUGAUAAUUAAAUUCUAAUUUUUCUCAAAGGUACGAUUCAUAUACUUGAACUUUAAUGAUUUAAUUUAAUAAUUAAUAAUACAAUUGAGUGUGAUAUAUUUUAAAGCACUGUACGACACAUAGACCCAGGUCACAAUUUUUACACUCAUAGUGUUUUUCAAAUUGCUCUUCGUUUUCUAUUUUGAAGCUACAUUUUGAGGUGAAAGAUUCUACAAAAUUAUAAGGAUACGGGUCGGCAUGUUAAAAAGAGCAUCUAACAAUGGUAUAUUUAUUUGAACAAAAAGCAACAAUUGUUAUCUGACACUGGCGUAUCAAAAACAAAGACUGUAUAUUCUGCCUGUAUAUCGUUAACACUGUUAUAAGACAUUGCGAGGGCAGAAGAAGUGUGAAGCAAGACAAAUGAAAAAGUUAAUUUAAUUCAAACGGCGAGCGAAUGAAUUAUAUAAAUUUGCAAGAGGGAAAGGAAUAGCAACAAAUAUUAAUUUACAGAGAAAUUCUAAAGAAACACGUCUUAACAAUACAAAUAGCCGAGACAUCGACCACAAAUUAAAUGCUUAUACUCGAUCGAUCAUCAAUAAAAUACCAAUCGCUAAAAUCUACUCUUCGGUUUCUUAGAACACACGCCUCUGUAAGUAUAAAAUAUAAAGUACAAAGUAGAAUAUUUGUUCUUAUUUCGCCAUUUAAUUUUCCAUUCGCCAAUAUCUUAUAAAAAUACUCGAUAUAAAUCGAUCGCGAUUAAAGGCAAAGGACAGUUAAUGAAAUAACGAGAUCUGGAAGUUGCAGCAAUCGAACAAGUUCGAACGUUCCUCGAAGGCAUUUUACAGUUUUCCAGCGCGGAGGACGCCGGUUCGACCUGUCUUAGGAAGCCUAUCGGAAACGUUAGUUUAUCACGGCGUGUUCCAGUUCGUGUCAAUUGCUCUAAAUUCAGGACGAGGCUGGAUCAGGGCUAGGGUAGCUAACUGGAUUGUAGGAAUUCAGGCUAAUACGAGUCUAUCAAAUUAUUCCGUCGGCCAGUCGCACGCGUUGCGACUCCUGCAGCAUCUUGUUGUCGGCUUUAACCCGACAAUUUUCAUCUGCGAAUAUCUGCUUUAUGUGUUCCUGCGGUGUUGACGUAGCGCGUUCGCUUCUGUGUACAAAUAUUCUGGCGAAAGAGUCGGCUCUGGUUUUAUAAAGUAGGAUUUCAAAAAUGCCAGAUAAAUCUUUCUUAGUGUUUAAACCAGCUUUGAUAUAUUUGCAGGUGGAUGUUUUCUUAAACAGCGAUUCCGGUGAUUUAUAACGUGGAUUUAAAUAUACAACGGACUUGUACGAAGACGUACAGUGACAAAUAAAAGUUAGAUUGCAGAAAUGAAGAUAAUUAAGUAUACCGUUGGUGAUUAAUUGGCUAUAGAUCCAGUGCUGUGAAUAAUUUUGCUCUUGAACACGUUCCCUUCGCAUUAGUUUUUCGAUAUCUUCGAGAAACCUCAAGAUAUCUUGAUAUGUUUGUUGAAAUAAAAGAUAAAAGGCAAUUUCUCAACAAGACAAUGCUCCUAUUCAUCUUGUCACCGCUACAAAAAAAGUGGUUUCAAGAUUUUGGAGUGGAAUCAUCAUCGUGAGCAACUUUGUGUCCUGAUCUGAACUCGAUCGAGGAGAAGCUGCGAGAAAUGAAGAUUUAAAUAAAUUAAUGGAUAGUGUACCUAACGGAGUAAUAGAAAUAAUAAAAGACAACAUGUUUUCUCACAGCGAGAAACACAAUUUUAGGAGAAAUUUUCAUUGUUUCUAGACUUGAAGAGAACACAGUUCUCAUCUUUGCUUUACGUUACAAUAUGAAAUAAUAUUAACGACUUGCUCAAUUUUUCUUUUAAUAUUAUGAAAAAUCUAAAAAUGCAUUUGAAUUUAUAAUUAUUCACGGCACUGUAUAUUAAAUGUACAAGACGCAAUUGAAGUUAUAUCAACUUGCAAAAUUCUGUACAAUAUGCAACAAUAAUAAUAAGAAGACUGAGAUAAUAGUAAGAAUAAUAGGUUUCAAACAAAGAUGCUACAAUCUGCGAUGAUAUUAUUUUAUUGGAAUCUUUCGGGUGGCGUGUUGGAUACGCCAGAAACAGACAAUAAUGUGAUAUGUGAAAUGUGAAAUCUGAAAACGAUUAGAUCUUGCUAAAUUAUUCACUGUCGUCGCUAUAUUUAACCGGGUUCAUCGAACCUGUACGUAGUACAUACAUCAGACGUGCUUUAAAUACAAAGGUUCAGCUGAUAUCCGAAAGGCAUGUGUAAUAGAAAAUUAAUUUUCCAUUAAAGUCUUCCAAUAAAAGCGUUGAACGAAAUAGCAUGAAUCCAUCGUAAAAAAGAUAUACAAUUUUCGUAUCAAAAAUCGUUUACCACACUUUUCACCGAAAUUCUUUGCAUUUGGAAGAUUUUGCGAAACGCUUAGAAAACGAAACGACGUUCAAGAUAAAAUUAUUUUCGACGAAAAAAGUGCGACAUCGCCGAAGAAAUGCAAAG